rnacentral:rRNA from 1 species
UCCCUACUGCUGCCUACGGGAGGCAGCAGUAGGGAAUCUUCCGCAAUGGACGAAAGUCUGACGGAGCAACGCCGCGUGAGUGAUGAAGGCUUUCGGGUCGUAAAACUCUGUUGUUAGGGAAGAACAAGUGCUAGUUGAAUAAGCUGGCACCUUGACGGUACCUAACCAGAAAGCCACGGCUAACUACGUGCCAGCAGCCGCGGUAAUA